rnacentral:rRNA from 1 species
UACGAAGGGGGCUAGCGUUGUUCGGAUUUACUGGGCGUAAAGCGCACGUAGGCGGAUUGUUAAGUCGGGGGUGAAAUCCUGGAGCUCAACUCCAGAACUGCCUUCGAUACUGGCAAUCUCGGGUCCGGAAGAGGUAAGUGGAACUCCUAGUGUAGAGGUGGAAUUCGUAGAUAUUAGGAAGAACACCAGUGGCGAAGGCGGCUUACUGGUCCGGUACUGACGCUGAGGUGCGAAAGCGUGGGGAGCAAACAGG